GGAUGAGCGGACGAGCGGUUUAAGUCGCACGCCUGGAAAGCGUGUGUGGGCUAAUCCCCAGCGCGGGAUCGAAUCCCGCCCUCCA
rnacentral:tRNA from 1 species